rnacentral:lncRNA from 1 species
UGAAUUAGUAUUAUAAAUAGGCCUUGUAAUCUUCUCUUCUAGACAUGAUAUAUAGAACUUCUUUGGUUUCUAACAUGGUAUCAGAGAAUUAAAGUUUUUCACCAGUUUGUUGAUGGGAAUAUUUUUAUUCCCGUUUAAAUUACUUUUGUUCAGAACAGUCUCUCGCUGCUUUGAUUCUAUUUCAUUGUUUCCGGUCUGUUUUUUUUCUCACCUCCCACACCAUUAAAACACAUUGUUCCGCCAUUAUUCACUAUUCACUGUUCCGACC